rnacentral:rRNA from 1 species
GAUGAACGCUGGCGGCGUGCCUAAUACAUGCAAGUCGAGCGAACAGACGAGGAGCUUGCUCCUCUGACGUUAGCGGCGGACGGGUGAGUAACACGUGGAUAACCUACCUAUAAGACUGGGAUAACUUCGGGAAACCGGAGCUAAUACCGGAUAAUAUAUUGAACCGCAUGGUUCAAUAGUGAAAGACGGUUUUGCUGUCACUUAUAGAUGGAUCCGCGCCGCAUUAGCUAGUUGGUAAGGUAACGGCUUACCAAGGCAACGAUGCGUAGCCGACCUGAGAGCGUGAUCGGCCACACGGGAACUGAGACACGAACCAGACUCCUACGGGAGGCAGCAGAAGGGAAUGUUACGCAAUGGGCGAAAGCCUUACGGAGCAGCGCCGCGUGAGUGAUGAAGGUCUUCGGAUCGUAAAACUCUGUUAUGAGGGAAGAACAAAUGUGAAAGAAACUAUGCACGUCUUGGGGGUACCUAAUAAGAAAGCCACGGCUAACUACGUG